GCCGAAGUGGCGGAAUAGGCAGACGCGCAUGAUUCAGGGUCAUGUUCCCGUAUGGGAGUGGAGGUUCAAGUCCUCUCUUCGGCA
rnacentral:tRNA from 1 species